rnacentral:lncRNA from 7 species
ACAUGGACUGAGUUUCCACACAGGAGCUGAAGAAAGAUGAUCGUGUUCUUAGUACCUAGCUGCAGUGAGGGCUCAGAUGGUGUGCAUGGAUAUCCUCAAAGUCUGUCUGGCUGUCAUCUCCAGAAGAAAAGAGGAUGGUAGUCAAGGACACAGUCAAAGACAGAACUCUGGUCGCAGAGGAUGACAACAACCCUACUUUGGUUUGCUUGCUGCCUUUUGUCAGGCAGGGCAUUUCUGCUGCACUUUAAAUCUCUCAAACUCUCCAAAAUGGGAACUGCAUGACAGAGUGCAUCCACCACAAUUCACUCCACCAUUAUAUGGCUGUGACUGUGAGACAAGCCGGAUUCUAGGUUUUAAAUCAAGGAUGAUCGAUUCUUUUCUCAGUGGAUUUUUUAAAACUUUAAAAACUGAGUGAUACUGUCUCACUUGUGAAUGAGAAUACAAGACUCUUCUGUAACAUUAUUCAUCAGUUGAUCUCUAAGUGCUUUAUAAGGGAGGGCAGUGCUAGCUCUUUUUGAAAGACAGGGAAGGAAGAAUGGUUUUCCCAGAGGCACUUGUUGGACCAGUGUUAAAGGAGGGAGCUGAAAUCACCGCCAGCCCAUGAUCUCAUCAGUAGUCAACCAGCACCCUGUGUCCUGUUACUUUUAAUUACUAAAAUUUGCAUCCUAAAAAGGAGGUUGUAUAUUUCUGAGCAGCAGCUACUUGUACACCUGCAUGCCAUCAGAUUUGUUGGCUGCUCCAUUCCUCAUGAAUAGAUAUUGCCAUGCAAUUUCUGGUUCGUGAUUUUUGGUUCACCAUUUCUGACUUCAGAAAUUCCAAGAUGGAUUCCUCAAAUAUUUACCUUUUCUGUGAUAUUCAGAACCAAAAAUAUCACACCUGAAGAAGUGGCAUUUCACUGACACACUAAUUCCUCAGUCCAUUUCUAAUCCCUGCCUAUUUAGGGAAGCAUACUAAAGGGUUUUUGAAGCCAUUUCAAACUUAAGAAAGUUUGUUCUGAAUAAGAUUAAUUACUGUGAGCAAACAUGUUGAAUAAUUAAAAAUGACAUUGCAUAUGGAUGCAGACCACUUUAGGAUAAAUUAACUAAUUUAUGCCAACGUAAUAACCCAGCAUUUAUGUGCUCAGAGUGCAGUGCUGCUAGGCAAAGUACCACACAGAAAAGGGCAUGGUUCUUCAGUGGGACUGACAAUUUAUCCUCUAGGACAGAGAAAUAUUGCAGAGCUCCUUUAAAGGAUCACUCUGUUAAAGAGGUAAGAAAAUUACCACUUCCACGUGCAACUUGUUUAUGGAUUAUAGUGGCUGGGAGCAUCUUAGAGGAAAAAUGUGUAAGCAAAUGGAUUAGGAUGUUGUAGAUGAUUCACAUAAAUGCCUUCUUUACUAUUCAGCUUAAUUAACUUAUGAGUAGAUCAAUUCUCAUUGGUCUAGUGGAAUGAAAAUGAAACAAGUGUUAAGAGAAAAUCUGAAUGUAACUGCUUGCUAUAUCCCAAUUUUAGAUGUUGUAACAGCAUAGAAUUUUUCCUCAUUAAAUUUUAAAAGCUUUCUGACUUC